rnacentral:rRNA from 1 species
AACGUAGGACACGAGCGUUAUCCGGAGUUACUGGGCGUAAAGGGCGUGCAGGCGGCAUGGUAAGUCUGAUGUGAAAGCUCCCGGCUCAACCGGGAAAGGACAUUGGAGACUGCCAAGCUCGAGGCAGAUAGAGGGAUGUAGAAUUCCGGGUGUAGUGGUGAAAUGUGUAGAGAUCCGGAGGAAUACCAGAGGCGAAGGCGGCAUCCUGGGUCUGACCUGACGCUGAGACGCGACAGCAUGGGGAGCGAACGGG